GACGAACGCUGGCGGCGUGCUUAACACAUGCAAGUCGAACGGAAAGGCCCUGCUUUUGUGGGGUGCUCGAGUGGCGAACGGGUGAGUAACACGUGAGUAACCUGCCCUUGACUUUGGGAUAACUUCAGGAAACUGGGGCUAAUACCGGAUAGGAGCUCCUGCUGCAUGGUGGGGGUUGGAAAGUUUCGGCGGUUGGGGAUGGACUCGCGGCUUAUCAGCUUGUUGGUGGGGUAGUGGCUUACCAAGGCUUUGACGGGUAGCCGGCCUGAGAGGGUGACCGGCCACAUUGGGACUGAGAUACGGCCCAGACUCCUACGGGAGGCAGCAGUGGGGAAUAUUGCACAAUGGGCGGAAGCCUGAUGCAGCAACGCCGCGUGCGGGAUGGCGGCCUUCGGGUUGUAAACCGCUUUCGCCUGUGACGAAGCGUGAGUGACGGUAAUGGGUAAAGAAGCACCGGCUAACUACGUGCCAGCAGCCGCGGUGAUACGUAGGGUGCGAGCGUUGUCCGGAUUUAUUGGGCGUAAAGGGCUCGUAGGUGGUUGAUCGCGUCGGAAGUGUAAUUUUGGGGCUUAACCCUGAGCGUGCUUUCGAUACGGGUUGACUUGAGGAAGGUAGGGGAGAAUGGAAUUCCUGGUGGAGCGGUGGAAUGCGCAGAUAUCAGGAGGAACACCAGUGGCGAAGGCGGUUCUCUGGGCCUUUCCUGACGCUGAGGAGCGAAAGCGUGGGGAGCGAACAGGCUUAGAUACCCUGGUAGUCCACGCUGUAAACGGUGGGUACUAGGUGUGGGGUCCAUUCCACGGGUUCCGUGCCGUAGCUAACGCUUUAAGUACCCCGCCUGGGGAGUACGGCCGCAAGGCUAAAACUCAAAGGAAUUGACGGGGCCCCGCACAAGCGGCGGAGCAUGCGGAUUAAUUCGAUGCAACGCGUAGAACCUUACCUGGGUUUGACAUGGAUCGGGAGCGCUCAGAGAUGGGUGUGCCUCUUUUGGGGUCGGUUCACAGGUGGUGCAUGGCUGUCGUCAGCUCGUGUCGUGAGAUGUUGGGUUAAGUCCCGCAACGAGCGCAACCCUUGUUCACUGUUGCCAGCACGUUAUGGUGGGGACUCAGUGGAGACCGCCGGGGUCAACUCGGAGGAAGGUGGGGAUGACGUCAAGUCAUCAUGCCCCUUAUGUCCAGGGCUUCACGCAUGCUACAAUGGCUGGUACAGAGAGUGGCGAGCCUGUGAGGGUGAGCGAAUCUCGGAAAGCCGGUCUCAGUUCGGAUUGGGGUCUGCAACUCGACCUCAUGAAGUCGGAGUCGCUAGUAAUCGCAGAUCCGCAACGCUGCGGUGAAUACGUUCCCGGG
rnacentral:rRNA from 1 species